rnacentral:rRNA from 1 species
GAUGAACGCUAGCGUCAGGCCUAACACAUGCAAGUCGAGGGGUAGAACACUUCGGUGUUUGAGACCGGCGCACGGGUGCGUAACGCGUAUGCAAUCUACCUUGUACAGGGGAAUAGCCCAGAGAAAUUUGGAUUAAUGCCCCAUAGUAUAUAACCUUCGCAUGUUGGUUAUAUUAAAGUUCCAACGGUACAAGAUGAGCAUGCGUCCCAUUAGUUAGUUGGUAAGGUAACGGCUUACCAAGACGAUGAUGGGUAGGGGUCCUGAGAGGGAGAUCCCCCACACUGGUACUGGGACACGGACCAGACUCCUACGGGAGGCAGCAGUGAGGAAUAUUGGUCAAUGGGCGCAAGCCUGAACCAGCCAUGCCGCGUGCAGGAAGACGGUCCUAUGGAUUGUAAACUGCUUUUAUACAGGAAGAAACCCUCCCACGUGUGGGAGAUUGACGGUACUGUAGGAAUAAGGAUCGGCUAACUCCGUGCCAGCCGCCGCUGUAACAC